AGCAGCCGCGGUAAUUCCAGCUCCAAUAGCGUAUAUUAAAGUUGUUGCAGUUAAAAAGCUCGUAGUUGAAUUUCGGGACCAGUAUGUCGGUCGUGCUUCGGUACGUACUUGCAUUAUUGGUUUCUCCCUUCUGACGAACCAUGAUGUCAUUAAUUUGAUGUCAUGGGGAAUCAGGACUGUUACUUUGAAAAAAUUAGAGUGUUUAAAGCAGGCUAACGCUUGAAUACAUUAGCAUGGAAUAAUGAAAUAGGACGUUCGAUCCUAUUUUGUUGGUUUCUAGGAUUGACGUAAUGAUUAAUAGGGAUAGUUGGGGGCAUUAGUAUUCAAUUGUCAGAGGUGAAAUUCUUGGAUUUAUUGAAGACUAACUACUGCGAAAGCAUUUGCCAAGGAUGUUUUCAUUAAUCAAGAACGAAAGUUAGGGGAUCGAAGACGAUCAGAUACCGUCGUAGUCUUAACCAUAAACUAUGCCGACUAGGGAUCGGAUGAUGUUAAUUUUUAAUGACUCAUUCGGCGCCUUAAC
rnacentral:rRNA from 1 species